UACAGAGUUACUACUCCAAACCCAUUGUGAACCUUACCUAUGUUCUGUUGCCUCGGCGGCGUCGGUCAGCGCCCCUCUGAAAAGAGGACGAUGCCCCUCCCGCCGGCAGCACCAAACUCUUGAAUUUUACAGCGGAUUACAGUUCUGAUUUGAAAACAAAAAACAAGUUAAAACUUUCAACAACGGAUCUCUUGGUUCUGGCAUCGAUGAAGAACGCAGCGAAAUGCGAUAAGUAAUGUGAAUUGCAGAAUUCAGUGAAUCAUCGAAUCUUUGAACGCACAUUGCGCCCGGCAGUAAUCUGCCGGGCAUGCCUGUCCGAGCGUCAUUUCAACCCUCGAACCUCCGUUUCCUUAGGGAAGCCUAGGGUCGGUGUUGGGGCGCUACGGCGAGUCCUCGCGACCCCCGUAGGCCCUGAAAUACAGUGGCGGUCCCGCCGCGGUUGCCUUCUGCGUAGUAAGUCUCUUUUGCAAGCUCGCAUUGGGUCCCGGCGGAGGCCUGCCGUCAAACCACCUAACAACUCCAGAUGGUUGACC
rnacentral:rRNA from 1 species